rnacentral:rRNA from 1 species
AGCAGCCGCGGUAAUUCCAGCUCCAAUAGCGUAUAUUAAAGUUGUUGCAGUUAAAAAGCUCGUAGUUGAAUUUCGGGGUUAGUAGGUCGGUCAUGCCACUGGUAUGUACUGGUCUCACUGAUUCCUCCUUCCUGAUGAACCGUAAUGCCAUUAAUUUGGUGUUGCGGGGAGACUGGGCUGUUACUUUGAAAAAAUUGAGUGUUUAAAGCAGGCUAACGCUUGAAUACAUUAGCAUGGAAUAAUGAAAUAGGACGUUCGAUCCUAUUUUGUUGGUUUCUAGGAUUGACGUAAUGAUUAAUAGGGAUAGUUGGGGGCAUUAGUAUUCAAUUGUCAGAGGUGAAAUUCUUGGAUUUAUUGAAGACUAACUACUGCGAAAGCAUUUGCCAAGGAUGUUUUCAUUAAUCAAGAACGAAAGUUAGGGAUCGAAGACGAUCAGAUACCGUCGUAGUCUUAACCAUAAACUAUAGCCGACUAGGGAUCGGAUGAUGUUAAUUUUUAUGACUCAUUCGGCGCCUUAAC